UGGCGGAAUGCUUUACACAUGCAAGUCGAACGGAACUUAAGGGCUUGCUCUUAAGUUUAGUGGCGAACGGGUGAGUAACAUAUCGGAACGUAUCCAAUAAUGGGGGAUAACUAAGCGAAAGCUUGGCUAAUACCGCAUAUACCCUAAGGGGGAAAGCAGGGGAUCUUCGGACCUUGCGUUAAUGGAGCGGCUGAUAUCUGAUUAGCUAGUUGGUGGGGUAAAGGCUCACCAAGGCGACGAUCAGUAGCUGGUCUGAGAGGACGACCAGCCACACUGGAACUGAGACACGGUCCAGACUCCUACGGGAGGCAGCAGUGGGGAAUUUUGGACAAUGGGCGAAAGCCUGAUCCAGCCAUUCCGCGUGAGUGAAGAAGGCCUUCGGGUUGUAAAGCUCUUUCGCAAGGGAAGAAACGUUACGGGUGAAUAACUCGUGAUAAUGACGGUACCUUGAUAAGAAGCACCGGCUAACUACGUGCCAGCAGCCGCGGUAAUACGUAGGGUGCGAGCGUUAAUCGGAAUUACUGGGCGUAAAGCGUGCGCAGGCAGUUUUGUAAGUCAGAUGUGAAAUCCCCGAGCUCAACUUGGGAACUGCAUUUGAAACUACAAGACUAGAAUAGGUCAGAGGGGGGUAGAAUUCCACGUGUAGCAGUGAAAUGCGUAGAGAUGUGGAGGAAUAUCAAUGGCGAAGGCAGCCCCCUGGGAUCAUAUUGACGCUCAUGCACGAAAGCGUGGGGAGCAAACAGGAUUAGAUACCCUGGUAGUCCACGCCCUAAACGAUGUCAACUAGUUGUUGGUAGAGUAAAAUCUAUGAGUAACGCAGCUAACGCGUGAAGUUGACCGCCUGGGGAGUACGAUCGNCAGAUUA
rnacentral:rRNA from 1 species